UUNCNANCNCUCNCGNCGNCNCUGGCACCUCCNUUUANACCGGCUAGACUAGNCCCUUUNCUGGAUCUAUAGUUAGUGGCGAAAGGGCGAGGAAUAAAUAGGUAACGUACCCCGAACAUCAGAAUAGCGUCUCGAAAGAGGCAGUAAUACUGUAUAAUAUCUUUUGACGCAAGUUAAACGAUCAAAGAUUUAUCGGUUUGGGAGCGGCCUAUUUCCCAUCAGCUUGUUGGUAAGGUAAUGGCUUACCAAGGCAUCGACGGGUAUCGGGACUGAGAGGUUGACCCGACGCAUCGGAACUGAGACACUGUCCGGACCUCCACGGAGGGCUGCAGUAACGAAUAUUGCACAAUGGGCGAAAGCCUGAUGCAGCAACGCCGCGUGUAGGAUGAACUCCUUGGAGUGUAAACUACUGUCAGGGGUUANAAAGUGCNCUUANGCGCAUUGAUCANCCCCANANGAANUCACGGUAACUUCUGCCACCACCNCGGUAAUCCAANGUGCAAGCGUUNUCCGAAUAUUGGCUUAAAACCCNUAGCCGACCAAA
rnacentral:rRNA from 1 species